UGGCCUUUAGUGGGGGACAACCGUUGGAAACCGCUGCUAAUACCCCAUACUCCUUCCUAUCAUAAGGGAAGUUGGGAAAGAAUUAUUGGUUAAGGAAGGGGCUUUAUGGGAUCCACUAAUUUGUGGGGUAACCGCCUAACCAAGGUAAUAACCCCACCUUGGCCUAAAAGAAUAAUCAGGCCCCCUGAACCUAAAACACGGUCCAAACUCCUACGGAAGGCAGCAGUGGGGAAUAUUGCACAAUGGAGGAAACUCUGAUGCAGCAACGCCGCGUGGAGGAUGACGCAUUUCGGUGUGUAAACUCCUUUUAUAAGGGAAGAUAAUGACGGUACCUUAUGAAUAAGCACCGGCUAACUCCGUGCCAGCAGCCGCGGUAAUACGGAGGGUGCAAGCGUUACUCGGAAUCACUGGGCGUAAAGGAUGCGUAGGCUGUAAUAUAAGUCAGGAGUGAAAUCCAACGGCUCAACCGUUGAACUGCUCUUGAAACUGUUUUACUAGAAUAUGGGAGAGGUAGAUGGAAUUGGUGGUGUAGGGGUAAAAUCCGUAGAUAUCACCAGGAAUACCGAUUGCGAAGGCGACUACUGGAACUUAUUGACGCUGAGCAUGAAACGUGGG
rnacentral:rRNA from 1 species